rnacentral:rRNA from 1 species
GACGAACGCUGGCGGCGUGCUUAACACAUGCAAGUCGAACGGAAAGACCCUGCUGUUGUGGCGCGCUCGAGUGGCGAACGGGUGAGUAACACGUGAGUAACCUGCCCUUGACUUUGGGAUAACUUCAGGAAACUGGGGCUCAUACCGGAUAGGAGCUCCUGCUGCAUGGUGGGGGUUGGAAAGUUUCGGCGGUUGGGGAUGGACUCGCGGCUUAUCGGCUUGUUGGGGGGGUAGUGGCUUACCAAGGCUUUGACGGGUAGCCGGCCUGAGAGGGUGACCGGCCACAUUGGGACUGGGAUACGGCCCAGACUCCUACGGGAGGCAGCAGUGGGGAAUAUUGCACAAUGGGCGGAAGCCUGAGGCAGCAACGCCGCGUGCGGGAUGACGGCCUUCGGGUGUUAAACCGCUUUCGCCUGUGACGAAGCGUGAGUGACGGUAAUGGGUAAAGAAGCACCGGCUAACUACGUG